AGCCUGGGAUGCGUCACGUCUGUAUCCUCCCCGUUUUCGUUUACUCUAGCGAUUUUAUGUGCGGUUAGUUUGUAGCGUUGGCUAAUUCGUUUUUAGUUAUCUUUACUUGUUGCACUAAUGGCUCGUUUAUUGCACCCUUAGCCUGUCUUUUCAUCACUGUGUGUGUCCCUGUCCGAUGCUGUUCGGAUCUGUUUACUGCCCACCUUUCAGCGGGUUAUUUGAGGGCUGCGUAUCCUGAGCGGCGAAUUGAUCCUCGUGAGCUCCUUUAUCCGCACUUGGAUUCUCCCUCUCGUUUCGUCCUGGCUAUUAUCACUGCAGUUGACUUUUUCCUCCACUGCGCGCCGAGUGACCUAAUAUUGGCCUACAAUCAUUUAAAGGGACUUCUGCUGCUACCAUCUGGUUUCUGGGAUAGUUUUAACUGACCUGCUCUGGUCUACUUUGGGGUGGACGAUCGGGUAUUUCUUUGGGUCGGCCUAAGAACGACGUGGCCGCCCCUUCUUCGGUCCUGUCUCCCUCAAACUUUUUAUAAAGUUUUCGGUUGCGUUGAAUCGUGACUUCUAUUUGCUUUUCAUUCAUUCUGUUUCUGUUUUAUAUGUAUUUAUUUUGGUUUUGAUUUCUUUCAGGAGCUGGGGGUCCUACGGGUGAAAGACCUAUUGGUGGUGGUGCUAUUCCAACGUGCGCUGUGCGACAUUCUUGAAGUGUACGAGUGCGUGCUCUGAGUUCACGGUGAGGUGUGUGUGUGUGGAAGUGUGCGGUUGGAUAACUAACCCUGGUGAAUGCCUCGGUGGAUAACCCCAGCUCUGGAUUUAAUUGAUAUUUUGUUUUGUCUGUUUAGAAGUUGCGUAAAGUGGUUGUUUAU